AGUUCCUAGGCAAAUCCGGGAGCUCGUUAACUCCGAGAAGCGAUGGGGAGGCCCUCGGGCCACAAACUGGUUGAUACUACACUACCAAGAAAAUCCUCUAGGGAGCAGUUCGGGUGACCGUACCGCAAACCGACACAGGUAGGCGAGGAGAGUAUCCAAAGGCGCUUGAGUGAUCACUCGUUAAGGAACUCGGCAAAAUAGCCCCGUAACUUCGGAAGAAGGGGUGCCCCGGUAGCGUGUAGUCCCUGCGGAUGAAGCGCGAGGGGGCCGCAGCGAAACGGGCCAAGCGACUGUUUACUAAAAACACAGGACUCUGCUAAGUCGAAAACGACGUAUAGGGUCUGACGCCUGCCCGGUGCCGGAAGGUUAAAGGAAGGGGUUAGCCGCAAGGCGAAGCUCUGAACUGAAGCCCCGGUAAACGGCGGCCGUAACGAUAACGGUCCUAAGGUAGCGAAAUUCCUUGUCGGGUAAGUUCCGACCUGCACGAAUGGCGUAACGACUUGGCCGCUGUCUCGACGAGUGGCUCAGCGAAUUUGUAGUUCCGGUGAAGAUGCCGGAUACCCGCCACAAGACGGAAAGACCCCGUGCACCUUUACUAUACCCUAGCCCUGAAUCUGGGUGCGUCAUGCGCAGCAUAGGUGGGAGGCGUUGAAGCGUGGGUUUCGGCCUGCGUGGAGCCAACGGUGAGAUACCACCCUUGAUGUUCCGGGAUUCUAACCUGGACCCGUAAUCCGGGUCAGGAACUCGGCUAGGCGGGUAGUUUGACUGGGGCGGUCGCCUCCUAAACGGUAACGGAGGCGCUCGAAGGUCCGCUCAGGCUGUUUGGAAAUCAGCCGUAGAGUGCAAAGGCAUAAGCGGGCUUGACUGCGAGACCUACAAGUCAAGCAGGUGCGAAAGCAGGACUUAGUGAUCCGGUGGUCCCGCAUGGAAGGGCCAUCGCUCAACGGAUAAAAGGUACGCCGGGGAUAACAGGCUUAUCUUGCCCAAGAGUUCACAUCGACGGCAAGGUUUGGCACCUCGAUGUCGGCUCAUCGCAUCCUGGGGCUGAAGCAGGUCCCAAGGGUUCGGCUGUUCGCCGAUUAAAGCGGUACGUGAGCUGGGUUUAGAACGUCGCGAGACAGUUCGGUCCCUAUCUGUGGUGGGCGCAGGAGACUUGAGAGGAGCUGACCUUAGUACGAGAGGACCGGGUUGGACGAACCUCCAGUAUAGGAGUUGUCACGCCAGUGGCACCGCUCCGUAGCUGUGUUCGGCAGAGAUAAGCGCUGAAAGCAUAUAAGCGCGAAGCUCGCCUCAAGACAAGGUCUCCCAGCCGCAAGGCGCAUAAGGGCCCUGGUAGACUACCAGGUUGAUAGGCGAGGGGUGGAAGCGCAGCGAUGCGUGGAGCUGACUCGUACUAAUCGCCCGGCCGGCUUGACCAC
rnacentral:rRNA from 1 species